ensembl:lncRNA
UGUGUUAGUACAAUAAAUAAAUGCAUGUUGCGUCUUGCAAUCUUCUGGGAAGGAAUUUAAUACCAAGCUAUGUCAUGGAAAGGAAGACAGGAGUUAAGAAAUACAGAGAAAGGGACAAUUCUUCUUCCCUAUCGGGUGGCUCCAGUGAUUGCUAAAUGAGCGUGUUUGCGAGGAGGUGGCUAUCAAUCAAGGUAUACAGUCUGCAUGUCUCAAUUCUAACUUAGCUUCCUGCCCUUCCUCAAAUGUUCUUCUGCCAUCAAGGCAUGGCCAACGCCCAGCCAGACACCUGAGUCAUGUUUGCCUCCUCCCUCUUGCUUUCCUCUGUCCCUGAAUCUGUUUGGUUGCUAAAUCCUCUCAAUUUCCCCUCUGGAAGGCCUCUGCCUUUGCCCUCCCUCUGGGCUGGAUUAGCUAAUAACAUCGAAGCUGCCACUACCCAAGAAGCUCAGACUCCUUUUCCUGGUCUUCCCACCUUUCACAUAGGCUCCUUCUGGCUUCUGGUCACCUUCUCCACUGUCACCCUCCGCGCCGCACGGCGAAGAUCCUGCUCACCCGCCAGGACCUCAGCCCGGAGCGGGUCCCGCCGUCUGCCCCUCGGAAGCCUGGGCGCUCCAGGAUGUGGGCCCCAACGCAGACGGAAGUGCCGGCAGCUCGAGGGGCGGGGCAGGGGGCGGGGCCUGGCCCGGCUGGCCAAUGGAAGCGCUGAGCCCAGAGUCAGAGGUCACAUGUGCAGUGGGCGGGAAUUUUCUCCUGAGAAGACCGGUAGGAGGCGGUUUUCCCUCUGCCUGUACCCUGAGAGGCUGGAGAGACGAGGGAGGGAAGGUGUUUUUAGACUGAGGGGAAGAAAGGAUCGACGUGGGGCUAGAGUAUGGCAGCUCCGAAAUCUCUGGAAAACAGAUUUGUGAGGCGUGGCUGAUGUGACCCUGUGGGGACAAGGCCCCAGAACGGGUGUCCACCUAACCUAAUUAGGCGAGAACAGAGGGUGUGAAGGACACGGAAGAUAGCGGUCAAGAGGUAGCACAGGAGAAAUAAAAUCAUUACAAACAGGUGUUGAAAUUUGUACUGCUUGCAAAGAAAGAAGCUAUGUUUUCAACAUUCAAAUAUUGUGCAAUAGAUUAUUUAUAUGAGAAUGUAAUUAGGAAGAAGUUUUCUAGAGAUGCUUUCUUGCUUCGAAUCCCUUCAUGUUUAUAUCAAGAUGGAGAUUAUCUUACAGGAGUUAUUGAUAGUGCAUUUAGGAGGCCAUGGACAAGAGGUAUGUUUUGUUUUUAUUUCUAAAAAAUCUAUUUUAAAAAUUAUUUCUGUUUAGCAGAGUAAAUUAUUAAGAAAAUGCAGUGUUUUUCUCAUUAAAUAAAAAUGCAUUGCAUUUAUUCAUAUCAGAAUUCCAAGAAGUUUAUAAAUUGAUAUUUUUGUGACAGAAUUUAGGUGACAAAAUAAGGAGUUGGAAAGCUUACACUAAAUAUGAGUAGAACGAAUAAAAGAUAUGUAGAUGAUGAAGUCUUAAAAUAUUCUAACAUUGUAAACAUUUGUUGUGUUAUAAUGGAUCUUGCUCAACUGUAGGAGUGCUACUUUAAGUUGUAAUGAUACACUGACUAUAAAACUAUUUUUAAAGGUAUGUGUACAAAAUAUCAUCUUUUGCUUUUAUCAUGUCAUGGACUUAAGAAAGAGGUAGCCUUCAGGGGGGAGUCAACUCAGUUAACAGCAUUUAUUUAGCAUGUAUUAUGCACUAGGCACUAUGUUACAGGUGCUAAUGACACAGUUACUAAUAAGACACGCAAAUAGUCCCUGCCCUCAGUGAGUUUUCAGACUGGUAAGGAGGAUGCAGCAAUAAAAACAUUUAGUGUAUAAAUUAAUAUCUUGUAUUUGUAAGUGUACAGAGAAGACACAAUAAUGUAAUGUGAUAUGAAAUUUCAGGAGUAGGGAGUGCUAUGAGGAGGUGGACAUUUGAGUUGAGAACUGAGUAAUGAGAAGGCAGCAACCAUAAAAAGAUAUGGAGGAGGAGCCUUUCAAACAAAUGCAAAGUUCCCGACCCAGGAAUAAACUUCAUGUGUGUAAGGACCAGAAAAUUAGGCCAUUGUGACUGGUUGAUGAAAAAGGGGAGACCUGAGAAGUAGGGAGUUUCUGAAAGAUAGAAGGCUUUGCAAGCCAUAAUAGCAAGUUUGUUUGUUUAUAUUAUGGCUGAUGUGGGAAGUCACUGGACAAUUUUAAGAAAGAGAGUGGUAUAACCUGAUUUAUUCUUUAGAAAAAUCGUUCUGAUUGUCUGCAGCAUGGAAUGGGUAGGGAAUGGGAGACAAGAGUAGAGAUAGGAAACUAAAUCAGGAAGUGGCUUAUUGUCAUGAUUCAGAAUUUAGACUCCUAGGUGAAUCUACACUCUAUGUAAAAAAUGACGGUGCUUUGGACUAGGCUUCUAAUAAUGGAGAUAUGAGAAGUGGAUGAGACUGGGAUUAUUUUACAAGUCCAGCCAACAGUGAG